rnacentral:rRNA from 1 species
UCCGCAGGCGGGAUUUUAAGUCAGUGGUGAAAGCCUACAGCUCAACUGUAGAACUGCCAUUGAUACUGAUAUCCUUGAGUGUGGUUGAAGUGGGCGGAACAUGUCAUGUAGCGGUGAAAUGCAUAGAUAUGACAUAGAACACCAAUUGCGAAGGCAGCUCACUAAGCCAUUACUGACGCUGAGGGAUGAAAGCGUGGGUAGCGAACAGGAUUAGAUACCCUGGUAGUCCACGCCGUAAACGAUGGAUACUAGCUGUAUGUCUACUUCAGGUAGAUGUGUGGCCAAGCGAAAGUGAUAAGUAUCCCACCUGGGGAGUACGAUCGCAAGAUUGAAACUCAAAGGAAUUGACGGGGGCCCGCACAAGCGGUGGAGCAUGUGGUUUAAUUCGAUGA